GCUCACCACAUUACAGGAGAACGAGAAGAGCGCCUCGCGUUUGCUUCCCAUUGCACGCAACUUUCCAUCUCUCUCGUUCUUUCCACUGCAGCCGCCGCCGCCGCCGCUAGGGUUGCCGCCGCCAACACCUCCCCAAGCCGUAUUCGCCUCGACGGGUCUCAACCUGCCACGCGGAGUGACUCUCGGAUGCGGACGCUCGAGGGCGAGGGAAGCGCCGCCGCUUUUCAUGGGCGCCGGUUGCUGGUGGCGGCGGGAGGGACGAGCAGGCGUGCGGCAACCUCAAGCUUCUCCCAUGUGCCUGGACACGAGCGGCACAAGGGGUUGAGGAGCAGGGGGCGAUGCCAAGGGCGUGGAGCAGGGGAUUCACAAGCAGAUGCAUAUCAUCAGCAACCCCUGAGACCUCGUGCAACAUCAAGAUGCUGGUGUCCUGCCUCCAUUUGUUCGCCACGGUCGCUGCCUCAUGUCAGGUAUUGCGCGCAGGUAUAUGGCGAGGACACAAAUUUGGGUGUCCAGCUCCUUGCCUGCAUGUGCAAAGAAUUCAGAACCUGCAGGUAUUUUUUAUUCUUGAUCUCUCCAUACCUUGUGUUUCAUUUUCUGAAUUGAAGGAAUUCAUGUUUAAUUUCACAUGAUAUUCAAACAAAUAAAUACAUGGUGUGUUGAAUUGCUGAAAUAUGGAGGAAAUGCUACAGCUUGAUGACUAUUACAAUAUAGUUAAUUCAGAACUUCAGUUCUGACGACAUGGGUCUUGUGGACUAUAUUGGCUACCAGUACAAUUGAGCAUGAUUUACACUGUUUGACAACAAAGUUUUGUAAAAACUGCAGUAUUUUAGCAUGUUCGUAUAUCAACGUAUUUUGCAGUAGCAGUAAUGCAGAGAAUGAAUCUACAAUAGUCCACCUAUUACCAGUACUCUUACUUCUUCUCUUCUUCCUGAAUAGUUUGCUCUUUUCUCAUCCACUACUCUGUUUGAUUUAGCCCCUAUAAUCUCAUCUUUCAUUGUGCAGAUUAUUUUGUGUAUGUGACUACAAGGUGUUGGAAAUCCAAUCAGACUGUAGGAAAAGAUAUAUUUCUUCUUAUGCUCUUCGUGUAAUCAAUAGUUCUUUUUUCUUCUGCUGGGUAGUUGGGGGUUUGUUUUGGGAUGUUUCACCAAACUUAGGGAAGACCUUGUCAAGCUUAUUUGGGGGGGCACCAGGGUGAAUUAAUCCUGAUCCUAGCAUAAGUACAGUCAGGAAUUACAUCUUUUGUGGCCAGCAGGAACAGUGUGGUGUCCUAUUUUUUGCACUCUGGCGUUUUCUGUACUAUUGCCAGAACAUAUACUAUAUUUGCUAGCUCUUGUUGUUACCUCAUUUUAUCCUAUGCUUCUCUCAAAUCAGCUAUGAAUUACAAACGAUAAUAGAUCUCAUGAUGAUGAUGGUGGAGACUGUUGGUACUUUAGGUGAUAUAUGCCUCAUCAAAACUGAACAUUUAUCAAUUUUGAUGCAUGGCUGUACGGGCUAACAUUUUUUGUUUAAGGAAGCAACUAUAUAGUGUGUGCUGCAAGAAUGUACAUGCAAUAUAUCUUGUGCAUUGCAGACAUAGGAACGCUUGAUUGUCAUGAGUGUGUCUCAAUUGGUUCUUUAUAAUACAGUACUAGAGUUCAUUUAGAUUAUUAGUGGAUGAUAAUUUCCUUCCCUCAUAUUUAAAACAGUGCAGCAGAUGAAGCCAACGCGGACGAUGAUUAACUUCUCUGACCUUAUGGUAGGUUGAAUCUGAAUCACAUUGAUGGGUGAACUUCCUUGUAGUCCCUUUUCCUGAAACUAUAAGACAAUGGCUUAGCCUGAUGUUUUGGUAGUUGUGUAAGCUGAAACAUGAUGCUAAGCCGAACAAUUUAUUGUCGUUUUUUUCGCAUGAGAUCACAUUUUGGUAGUUGCGAAGCCUAAACCAUGAUGCUUUCUUGCUGCUGUUGUAGCCUCUAAUGAAAUUGUGAGAUAAUGUAGUUAAGCUAAAUUUCUUCUGUUUCAAUAAGAUAGAUGUUGGUAGUUGCGUAAGUUGGCAGUGGUGGCUUUGAUAUAUGAUCUGCCUCGACUCGGGUCUCCUCCAGUCAGCGCCUAUUCGACGACGGCGACGGCGAGAGGAGAUGAAGUGGAGGCAACUCGAGGGCCUCCUAGGGGGCCUGGUCCAGUUCUCCCCCGCCGCCUCCUUUGCUCGAUUUGGCGUCCAAAAAAGGUGGGUAAUGCGACGAGUAAUUUAUAUCAACUUUGUUAUGCUCUCGAUUGAUUCUGCUGCCUUUUGCUGCUUUGGGUCCUGUUGUGGCGUGAGUGGGAUUCGGUUCCACGCCAAAUCAAGCAGUCUACUCUGGCUGAGUAGACUAGCAGGUCCAUCCAUCCAUGUACGCCUUUCUUUGCCUGAAUUUUUUCAAGGGAUCGGUGGCAGCGAGAUCCGCAAGGAGAACGAGGUGGCGCCGCAAGAUGGCAAGAACGGUGCGGCAGCGGGGUGGGCAAGAAGAUGAGGGGAUUUAGGAGAGGGUGGAGGCAACGACAGUUUGCAGCAAAUAAAUUAAUGUCCAUCAUUGGUUGCAGGUGUCAGGAUAACUAGCUACAGGUCAUGUUCCAGAAUCCCCCUUCCAACCUUCUCUCCCCAUAGAUUGAAUAUACUCCCUCGGUUAAUUCUUUUUAUCUGCUAAUUUUUUCACAAUUUCUUAUUCCCUUCGUUAAUUUGUAGGAGGAAAAUUGUGCUGACGAUCUUUUCUAUACUCUCUGGAUUUAUGGUUUAUUCAUGGAAAGGGUGUAAAAUAAUGGGCAAUGGUAACUAUUUUGUUCCUGUGAAGCUCCAGGUUUGGCUGAUUGCUCGGAUGAUGAGUAUCAUAACCCACACAAGAAAUAUAGAAAAGGUAAAGCGAAGACACAGUCCAUUUGGUUUGUCAUUUUGAAGGCACAGAUAGAAACAAGAACACCAUAUAUGUUCUAUAAGGAGGAGCUUUGAAAGUUUGUCAGGGCGGAGAAGAUGGUUCUCAAGUAUGCUACUAUCAUUGACUAGUAGAAUGCCCGUGCGUUGCCACGGGCUUUUGAAUUUUUUACUGGUUAUGUAUAUAAACAUAAUGCAUGUCAAAUUUCAUAUGUAUAGAAAAAAAAUUGGCGUUGGAUAACAUAACAAUGUUGCUCUGGUUGUAUUUGUUCUGACAGCUUUAUCUCUUAUAACAUUGGUUCUUAAUUUUAAGGUCACA